GCAGGAAACAUAUUAAAAAUUAAGAUAAUUGUACAUAAAUUGGCUAAUAUAAACUUUUUUGUUAAAAAAUUGGCUAAUAUGAACUAAAAAUAAAAUGAAGAGUUAAAAAAUGAUAAACAAAUUAAUGAACACUGAUUUGGCAACAGCCUCGAACCAUAAACAAAUCUAAUAAAUAUAUUCUAUUAGAACAAAAGUGAUGUGAUGACAAAAAAAAAGAACAGAAGUGAUGACUUUAAUUCAUGUGUGAUUUUUUAAUUUGUACCACUUCUUAAAAAGUUGUUAAAAUUACUUUUUUAUAAAUAUUUAAAUUAUUUGAAUUAUUCUAAAACAAACAAAUCAAGUAGAUAUUCCUAUAUUUACUCUGAAAUUCUAUCUGAAUAAAAUAUUUUCAUAUCUUUUUUCAUUUUUUCAUUAAAACAUAUAUAUUUCAUUUUUUCAUUAAAAUAAACAUUUUGAAUACUUAAGUAAUUUCAAAUUUAUUUAAAAUAAAUUUAUAUUUCAUUUUUCUUUUAAACAAAACUUUUAAAUAUUUAGUUAAUGUCGUAUUUAUUUUAAAAUUAAAUUUAUAUUUCAUUUUAACUAAAACAAAAUUUUAAAAUAUCUAACUAAUUUUGUUAUGGGCAAUUCUC
rnacentral:lncRNA from 1 species